rnacentral:rRNA from 1 species
GACGAACGCUGGCGGCGUGCCUAAUACAUGCAAGUAGAACGCUGAAGAGAGGAGCUUGCUCUUCUUGGAUGAGUUGCGAACGGGUGAGUAACGCGUAGGUAACCUGCCUUGUAGCGGGGGAUAACUAUUGGAAACGAUAGCUAAUACCGCAUAACAAUGGAUGACACAUGUCAUUUAUUUGAAAGGGGCAAUUGCUCCACUACAAGAUGGACCUGCGUUGUAUUAGCUAGUAGGUGAGGUAACGGCUCACCUAGGCGACGAUACAUAGCCGACCUGAGAGGGUGAUCGGCCACACUGGGACUGAGACACGGCCCAGACUCCUACGGGAGGCAGCAGUAGGGAAUCUUCGGCAAUGGGGGCAACCCUGACCGAGCAACGCCGCGUGAGUGAAGAAGGUUUUCGGAUCGUAAAGCUCUGUUGUAAGUCAAGAACGAGUGUGAGAGUGGAAAGUUCACACUGUGACGGUAGCUUACCAGAAAGGGACGGCUAACUACGUGCCAGCAGCCGCGGUAAUACGUAGGUCCCGAGCGUUGUCCGGAUUUAUUGGGCGUAAAGCGAGCGCAGGCGGUUUGAUAAGUCUGAAGUUAAAGGCCGUGGCUCAACCAUAGUUCGCUUUGGAAACUGUCAAACUUGAGUGCAGAAGGGGAGAGUGGAAUUCCAUGUGUAGCGGUGAAAUGCGUAGAUAUAUGGAGGAACACCGGUGGCGAAAGCGGCUCUCUGGUCUGUAACUGACGCUGAGGCUCGAAAGCGUGGGGAGCGAACAGGAUUAGAUACCCUGGUAGUCCACGCCGUAAACGAUGAGUGCUAGGUAUUGGAUCCUUUCCGGGAUUCAGUGCCGCAGCUAACGCAUUAAGCACUCCGCCUGGGGAGUACGACCGCAAGGUUGAAACUCAAAGGAAUUGACGGGGGCCCGCACAAGCGGUGGAGCAUGUGGUUUAAUUCGAAGCAACGCGAAGAACCUUACCAGGUCUUGACAUCCCGAUGCUAUUUCUAGAGAUAGAAAGUUACUUCGGUACAUCGGUGACAGGUGGUGCAUGGUUGUCGUCAGCUCGUGUCGUGAGAUGUUGGGUUAAGUCCCGCAACGAGCGCAACCCCUAUUGUUAGUUGCCAUCAUUCAGUUGGGCACUCUAGCGAGACUGCCGGUAAUAAACCGGAGGAAGGUGGGGAUGACGUCAAAUCAUCAUGCCCCUUAUGACCUGGGCUACACACGUGCUACAAUGGUUGGUACAACGAGUUGCGAGUCGGCGACGGCAAGCUAAUCUCUUAAAGCCAAUCUCAGUUCGGAUUGUAGGCUGCAACUCGCCUACAUGAAGUCGGAAUCGCUAGUAAUCGCGGAUCAGCACGCCGCGGUGAAUACGUUCCCGGGCCU